AGAGUUUGAUCCUGGCUCAGGAUGAACGCUAGCGACAGGCCUAACACAUGCAAGUCGAGGGGCAGCACAUGAGUAGCAAUACGAUGGUGGCGACCGGCGCACGGGUGAGUAACACGUAUGCAACCUACCUGUAAGAGGGGAAUAACCCGGAGAAAUCCGGACUAAUACCGCAUAAUACUUCGAAUCCGCAUGGAUUUGAAUUUAAACAUUUAUGGCUUACAGAUGGGCAUGCGUAUGAUUAGCUAGUUGGUGAGGUAACGGCUCACCAAGGCAACGAUCAUUAGGGGUUCUGAGAGGAAGGUCCCCCACACUGGUACUGAGACACGGACCAGACUCCUACGGGAGGCAGCAGUGAGGAAUAUUGGUCAAUGGGCGAGAGCCUGAACCAGCCAAGUCGCGUGAAGGAAGAAGGUUCUAUGGAUUGUAAACUUCUUUUGUAAGGGAAUAAAAAGAGUUACGUGUAACUUAUUGUAUGUACUUUACGAAUAAGGAUCGGCUAACUCCGUGCCAGCAGCCGCGGUAAUACGGAGGAUCCAAGCGUUAUCCGGAUUUAUUGGGUUUAAAGGGUGCGUAGGCGGACCCGUUAGUCAGUGGUGAAAGUUUGCAGCUCAACUGUAAAAUUGCCAUUGAAACUGCGGGUCUUGAGUGUAAAUGAGGUAGGCGGAAUGUGUUGUGUAGCGGUGAAAUGCUUAGAUAUAACACAGAACACCAAUUGCGAAGGCAGCUUACUGGGAUACAACUGACGCUGAGGCACGAAAGCGUGGGGAUCAAACAGGAUUAGAUACCCUGGUAGUCCACGCAGUAAACGAUGAAUACUAGCUGUAUGCGAUAUACUGUAUGUGGCACAGCGAAAGCGUUAAGUAUUCCACCUGGGGAGUACGUUCGCAAGAAUGAAACUCAAAGGAAUUGACGGGGGCCCGCACAAGCGGAGGAACAUGUG
rnacentral:rRNA from 1 species